GUCUUCCUGAAUCAACAUGGCACUGAGGAAUUCAAGAGAGCAAGCGAAAGGAAUAAAAUCAAUCGGUCCAAGCUAAAAGGACCUGUGUGUCUUGGGAGGAACAGCAUGGCUGUUAUUCGCCAUUAGAUGGCAAAGGAGAGGAAUCUUACCUCUGAUGCCAAGAUAGGUAGAUGUGAUGUUUACUUAAGAGCCCAUACAAGCGAGGACAAAGUUGUCCAGUAUCCUGACCUUGUUGAAAAAUUAGAUGAGCUUUAUUCUAGUAAUCCUUCUUCUAAGAUUACCGGCGUUGACAAUGCCCUUACAUAGUUGGUUGGUUCUGACAGUAGAGGGCGAAUGCGAGGUCUAGGUUGCUCAAUAACUAAGACAGGACUGAAGAUGUUAGCCCCUGCCCGUUCAAAGGUAGAGAAUUUGAUAAAAGAAGAGAUGGCCUAGUGCAGGAGAUAUUUGAUAUAAAGAAAUCAUUGGCCAAGAUGGAGGCCUGGAUGGAGUUGCAGCAACACGCAUAAUCUACUUAAAACCUCUCAUCACCAACAAUUGUUAAAUCUGCUCAGGCAUCGUCACCGGAUGUUAUAUAUAUCGGUAGGAGAUGCGACUUGCUUGGUUGGGGAAAUCAUGAUGUAGUUGCUCGUGGUCAAGUACACGAAGUUAAUCCAAAUACCGUUGUCCAUUACGAACCAUUAGAGGAGGG